CAUGUGGUUGCUGGGAAUUGAACUCAGGACCUCUGGAAGAGCAGCCAGUGCUCUUAACUGCAGACUGGAUGUGAAAUUUAUUACUGAACAAGGUUGGUGUCACCUAAAUGGGUUCCUGCAGCAAGGAAUUUAAGGACAUCUUUCUCCUUCAUCUGCAGGACAUCUAGGGCUCCGGACAUUGGUGAAGACUGUGUGACACCAGUGUGCUGUGUGGUUAGGGAGCGCAGGACCCACCAAUAGAAGGCUGAGGAGAAGCAACCAUGGACUGUGUGCAACUUCACCCACUAGUUUACUCCUCCACAGAUCCCACAGCCUGGAGCCCCAGCCCUUCUGACCACCUUCCAUGAGAAAGGAACGUGAAUCUUGAAGCCAGUGCUUGCCUGUUGAAGGCCAGUUCUCUAGAAUACUUGUGA